rnacentral:rRNA from 1 species
UACAGAGGUCUCAAGCGUUGUUCGGAUUCAUUGGGCGUAGAGGGUGCGUAGGCGGCGCGGUAAGUCGGGUGUGAAAUCUCGGGGCUUAACUCCGAAACUGCAUUCGAUACUGCCGUGCUUGAGGACUGGAGAGGAGACUGGAAUUUCCGGUGUAGCGGUGAAAUGCGUAGAUAUCGGAAGGAACAUCAGUGGCGAAAGCGGCUUCCUGGACCAGCACCGACGUUCAGGCACGAAAGCGUGGGGAGCAAACAGG